rnacentral:lncRNA from 1 species
AAAAAAUCCACCACACAUGCAAGUAUAUUUGUACUUGGUGUCUAUUUAAACUUCUGCUCCGUGUCUCGGAAGCAUGUUUAGCCUUCUGAUUCUCCUUCACACUCUUUUUGUUGAAGAUUGGUGUAUGAACUCAGCAUCUGAGGUCCCUGUCCUCAAGACACUUUCUACUUACAUCUUCCUUAAGCUCUCUGAAGGCCAGCUACUCAUCUGUAUCUCCAGCACCAGGCACAUCCCAGGUUUCAAUGGAAUGAAAAGAAUUUAGAGCUGGAAAGUGGUCAAGAGCCUCAAGCCUGUUUCUGAGUGUUGGAUCAGAAUGAUGUGAAUACAGGGAGCGGUAUACAGCUGCCAAGAGGGACGGCAUCUGGCUCAUAGAGGUGUAUGUGUCUUCCAGGUCUUUACUGAAGUGCUGCCUUAUCAUUUAUCUGAAACAGUGGAUACAGAGAUAUGGAUUCGAGCACACGUACUAUUCUUUGAACGAUUACAUUGCAGAGCUACUUGGAGAUUCAAACAGCUGUCUAAAGUGUGGAUUAAGUGCUAAACAAUAACAGAUCAUCUGGAGAGUUUUGCAAACGGAACUCUCUCAUCAUCUUGAGAAAUAUCUUUCCUGGAAAGGCAGAUUCCAUUCUCCCAAUUCAAUGAGCAACUUCUCCAAAGAUGUGGUCUUCUGGAAUAUACAGAAUGAUGCGAAUAUUCUAAAGAAAUAUUGAUUGGAAAGGAUCAAACUCCUGUUUUAUAGAUUAAGAAGUGUUUUAUGCCUUCUGGACUUACAAGGACUACAAAUUAAUGUAUCCAAAUGGGUAGCUGAUAAGUGUACUUGCUUUGAUAGCUGUG